UACGGGGGGGGCAAGCGUUGUUCGGAAUUACUGGGCGUAAAGGGCUCGUAGGCGGCCAACUAAGUCGGAUGUGAAAUCCCCAGGCUUAACCUGGGAACUGCAUCCGAUACUGGAUGGCUUGAAUCCGGGAGAGGGAUGCAGAAUUCCAGGUGUAGCGGUGAAAUGCGUAGAUAUCAGGAGGAACACCGGUGGCGAAGGCGGGUCUCUGGGCAACAACUGACGCUGAGGAGCGAAAGCGUGGGGAGCGAACAGG
rnacentral:rRNA from 1 species